rnacentral:tRNA from 1 species
GUCCCCAUCGUCUAGUGGCCUAGGACACCGCCCUUUCACGGCGAUAACGGGGGUUCGACUCCCCCUGGGGACGCCA